rnacentral:rRNA from 1 species
GGGUAGCAAUAUUCUGUGGUCGGAGCGGCGCAAGGGUGCGUAACACGUGGGUAAUCUGCCAUGAAGUUUGGAAUAACUUGCUGAAAGGCGAGCUAAUGCCGGAUGUGACAAUUGGAUGGCAUCAUUUGAUUGUCAAAGCUGGGGACCGUAAGGCCUGGCGCUUCAUGAUGAGCCCGCGGCCUAUCAGCUAGUUGGUGAGGUAACGGCUCACCAAGGCUAAGACGGGUAGCUGGUCUGAGAGGACGACCAGCCACACUGGAACUGAGACACGGUCCAGACACCUACGGGUGGCAGCAGUCGAGAAUUUUUCACAAUGGGCGCAAGCCUGAUGGAGCGACGCCGCGUGGGGGAUGAAUGGCUUCGGCCCGUAAACCCCUGUCAUUUGCGAACAAAUUGGUUCAAUUAACACUUGAACCAUUGAUAGUAGCGAAAGAGGAAGGGACGGCUAACUCUGUGCCAGCAGCCGCGGUAAUACAGAGGUCCCAAGCGUUGUUCGGAUUCACUGGGCGUAAAGGGUGCGUAGGUGGUCAGGUAAGUCGGAUGUGAAAUCUCCGAGCUCAACUCGGAAACUGCAUUGGAAACUACCUGGCUCGAGGGUUGGAGGGGGGACUGGAAUGCUUGGUGUAGCAGUGAAAUGCGUAGAUAUCAAGCGGAACACCAGUGGCGAAGGCGAGUCCCUGGACAACUCCUGACACUGAUGCACGAAAGCUAGGGGAGCAAACAGGAUUAGAUACCCUGGUAGUCCUAGCCGUAAACGGUGCACGUUUGCUGUAAAAGGAAUCGACCCCUUUUGUGGCGUA